UACGGGGGGAGCAAGCGUUGUUCGGAUUUACUGGGCGUAAAGGGCGCGUAGGCGGUCGUGACAAGUCACUUGUGAAAUCUCCGGGCUUAACUCGGAAAGGUCAAGUGAUACUGUCGGACUAGAGUACAGAAGGGGCAACUGGAAUUCUCGGUGUAGCGGUGAAAUGCGUAGAUAUCGAGAGGAACACCUGCGGCGAAGGCGGGUUGCUGGGCUGAUACUGACGCUGAGGCGCGAAAGCGUGGGGAGCAAACGGG
rnacentral:rRNA from 1 species